rnacentral:rRNA from 1 species
AGCAGCCGCGGUAAUUCCAGCUCCAAUAGCGUAUAUUAAAGUUGUUGCAGUUAAAAAGCUCGUAGUUGAAUUUCGGGGUUCUACCGUUGGUCGGGCAAUUGUCUGUACUGGCGUGUGGAAUUUCUACCUUCUGGGGAACCAUCAUGUUAUUAAUUUAGCGUGGUGGGAAACCAGGACCUUUACCUUGAAAAAAUUAGAGUGUUCAAAGCAGGCUUACGUCUGAAUACAUUAGCAUGGAAUAAUAAAAUAGGACGGUGG